UGGGGAAUCUUGCACAAUGGGCGAAAGCCUGAUGCAGCGACGCCGCGUGAGGGAUGAAGGCCUUCGGGUCGUAAACCUCUUUCGGCAGGGACGAAGCGAUCUCGUGACGGUACCUGCAGAAGAAGCCUCGGCUAACUACGUGCCAGCAGCCGCGGUAAGACGUAGGAGGCGAGCGUUGUCCGGAUUCAUUGGGCGUAAAGAGCGCGCAGGCGGCUUGGUAAGUCGGAUGUGAAAUCCCGAGGCUCAACCUCGGGUCUGCAUCCGAUACUGCCCGGCUAGAGGUAGGUAGGGGAGAUCGGAAUUCCUGGUGUAGCGGUGAAAUGCGCAGAUAUCAGGAGGAACACCGGUGGCGAAGGCGGAUCUCUGGGCCUUACCUGACGCUCAGGCGCGAAAGCUAGGGGAGCGAACUGGAUUAGAUACCCCCGUAGUCC
rnacentral:rRNA from 1 species